GCAUAUCAAUAAGCGGAGGAAAAGAAACUAACAAGGAUUCCCCUAGUAACUGCGAGUGAAGCGGGAAGAGCUCAAAUUUAAAAUCUGACGGUUCUGCCGUCCGAGUUGUAAUCUGGAGAAGCGUUUUCUGUGCUGGACCGUGCAUAAGUGUCUUGGAAUAGGACGUCAUAGAGGGUGAGAAUCCCGUCUUUGGCACGGACUACCAGUGCUCUGUGAUACGCUCUCAAAGAGUCGAGUUGUUUGGGAAUGCAGCUCAAAAUGGGUGGUAAAUUCCAUCUAAAGCUAAAUAUAGGCGAGAGACCGAUAGCGAACAAGUACCGUGAGGGAAAGAUGAAAAGCACUUUGGAAAGAGAGUUAAACAGUACGUGAAAUUGUUGAAAGGGAAACGCUUGAAGUCAGUCGCGUUGUCCAGGACUCAACCUCAGUUUUCUUUGGUGUAUUUCCUGGUUAACGGGUCAACAUCAAUUUUGAUCGGUGGACAAAGGCAGAGGGAAUGUGGCACCUUCGGGUGUGUUAUAGCCCCUUGUCAUAUACACCGGUUGGGAUUGAGGAUAUCACGCCCUCGGCGGUAGGAUGUUGACAUAAUGGCUUUAAGCGACCCGUCUUGAAACACGGACCAAGGAGUCUAACAUGCCUGCGAGUGUUAGGGUGGUAAACCCUUGCGCGUAAUGAAAGUGAAAGUUGGGACCUCUUUGAGGGCACCGACGCCCGGCCUUGAACUCUUGUGACGGUGCUGCGGUAGAGCAUGUAUGUUGGGACCCGAAAGAUGGUGAACUAUGCCUGAAUAGGGCGAAGCCAGAGGAAACUCUGGUGGAGGCUCGUAGCGAUUCUGACGUGCAAAUCGAUCGUCAAAUUUGGGGUAUAGGGGGCGAAAGACUAAUCGAACCAUCUAGUAGCUGGUUCCUGCCGAA
rnacentral:rRNA from 1 species